GAUGAACGCUGGCGGCGUGCUUAACACAUGCAAGUCGAGCGAGUGAGUUCUUCGGAACGAUCUAGCGGCGGACGGGUGAGUAACACGUGGGCAACCUGCCUCAUAGAGGGGAAUAGCCUCCCGAAAGGGAGAUUAAUACCGCAUAAAAUUAUCGAGUGGCAUCACACGAUAAUCAAAGGAGUAAUCCGCUAUGAGAUGGGCCCGCGGCGCAUUAGCUAGUUGGUGAGGUAACGGCUCACCAAGGCGACGAUGCGUAGCCGACCUGAGAGGGUGAUCGGCCACAGUGGGACUGAGACACGGCCCAGACUCCUACGGGAGGCAGCAGUGGGGAAUAUGGCACAAUGGGCGAAAGCCUGAUGCAGCGACGCCGCGUGAAGGAUGAAGGUCUUCGGAUUGUAAACUUCUAUCAGCAGGGAAGAAUAAAUGACGGUACCUGACUAAGAAGCUCCGGCUAACUACGUGCCAGCCGCCGCCGUAA
rnacentral:rRNA from 1 species